GUCCCCAUCGUCUAGAGGCCUAGGACAUCAGGUUCUCAUCCUGGUAACAUGGGUUCGAAUCCCAUUGGGGAUGCCA
rnacentral:tRNA from 1 species